GCGUCGUUUCGUCCCCCUUUUUUUUGUGUCGUCGAUCGGCGGUAGCCUGGUGCGGCCGUGGUCGGUCAGGUCAGUCAACAAACGGUGUAGGAUUUUUGGACAGGCACAUUUUUUAGGGCACAAUGUUGAUGAUGUAUUUAAAUCGGGAUUUCGUUAUAUGAUGUACUGCCUAGCGUGUUUGUGUAAUGUUUGGCUGGUAUUCAUUGUUUGUGCGUUCCUCCUUCACUCCCAGUAGCUGUUUUUUGUGUGUCUUUGGUUGCUGUUGACAGUUUCUCCUCCUCCGUCUUUAUGCAUUGUUAGUGAGCAAGCCUCUUCCAGGGCUUGCAUCUUCACAAUGCCUGUGUAUGAAAAGUUUGUUUUCAUUGAUCAAGAGUAACAUGGAUUCCAUCAAAUUGUCUCGCUGGCCACCGACGACGACGACGCGCAUGAAAUCGCGAUCUCGGGGACUAUAUGAGAGGUUGAAGAAAGUGAAGUUCAACAAUAAUAGCCAUAGCACUGGCAGCGUGGCUGCUUCACUGAUGUUCCCAGCUCCACGCUGAGAACCAUAGAAACUGCCUUGUGAAAUUUAUUUUUCUCGAAACUCGCCACAACCACAAACCCCCAACUGCAAACAACAGACACCGUUAAAUCCAUGAGGACGACGAUCUAAGGCCAACUCCACCGACCUCAAACGGACGUCAAUGGGUUCGUCCGUGUCCGGCCUUGUCCGUUGGGUCGUGUGUGCGCCCACUGCGCGGCCGCACCCCAAAUCACGUCCGCGUUGGACAUGAUUAAAAAUAAACAAAAAAAUAAAAAUAAAAUGACUAAAUAAAUAAAUAAGCGCAGUUUAAUAAACAUAAACUUAGUUAGGGGGGUCACGGCCACAAAACGGCCCAGUUUAGUUUAGCAGUUCAUACAGUGCCAUAAUUAACAUAAAAAUAAAUAAAAAACGCCGCCGCACGCUCCAGCCGCGCCCGUCGAUGCCAUGGCCCUCGCCGUCUUCAUCACUGGCCGCUAGUGUCGUCCUCAUCGCUGACGAGGUCGAUGUAGGCCGGCGGCGUCCAGAGGUGGGGCGGCGGCGCGUGGUACACGGGGGCGGCCUGGAAGGCCGGAGGUGCCUGCACCACCUCCUCCCGUGGCGAGGCCUCCCGCUCCGGUGACCGCGACGGAGUGGCGCACCAGUUCACGCCCACGCCGGCGGCCAUCUCCGGAGCAGUGCAUGACCAGCCCCACCCCUGGCCCAGCAGCUCCUGGAACGCGGCCACCGGCUCCUCCUCCAUCGUCUCCUCCCUCCUCUCCUCCUCCCUGACGGCCGCCAUCUGCAGCUCCGGGAAGGCGACGUCGCCGGCGGCGUCCAGAGGUGGGGCGGCGACGCGUGGUACACGGGGGCGGCCUGGAAGGCCGGAGGUGCCUGCACCACCUCCUCCCGUGGCGAGGCCUCCCGCUCCGGUGACCGCGAGGGAGUGGCGCAUCAGUUCACGCCCACGCCGGCGGCCAUCUCCGGAGCAGUGCAGCCCCACCCCUGGCCCAGCAGCUCCUGGAACGCGGCUACCGGCUCCUCCUCCAUCGUCUCCUCCCUCCUCUCCUCCUCCCUGACGGCCGCCAUCUGCAGCUCCGGGAAGGCGACGUCGCCGGCGGCAGAGAGUGCCAUGGCCUCCUCCAAGCCGUCCCAUUGCCGCUCGUUGUGCGUGUUCAUGGAGUCCUCCAUGACACGCUGCAUGAGACGGGCCUCCUCCUCCGCUGUCAUGCGAGGAGGUGGAGGUGGUGACGGAGACGGGGAAGGCGACGGCGUGGGCGUGAGGCCGCGCACCCGUGUACGCCCGCGCGCCUCUACACGUGGCCAACGCGGCCCCGACACCGUGUCGGCGAAGGACGACGCGCGGCGCGUGUCGUGCUCGUCCUGGAGCCAUGUGUCCCACAGCCGGGAGUCGGGGGCGUACCUGUCGUUGUAGAACAGGUCGUCGGGGAGGAGGCGGCGGCGGCGCUCGAUCUCAUCGCGGCGCGCACGGCCGCCCACGGGCACCGGCGGGAUCAGGACCCGGUCGGUGCUGAGGUGCCAUCCGUUGGGGAGGUGGACGUCGCUCCACGGGACCGGCGUCCUCGUCUCCCAGUACCUCCGGCACACGUCCGCGCAGAGGUACUGCCGGUCGCGCUCGCCGGCGGGCCGAGGGGCAAUGGUGAAGGGGGCCGGCACGGGGGCUCAACGGGAGGAGCGCGGCGGUGACACAUAAAACCUUAAGAAUAAACACUGAACUGAAGGGCCUCGGGUUCUAUUCAUAUAGCUUAAUCACCACCUACACUGUAAGGUGAACUCAACUGACACACAUUAUAGCACUAAAAUAGCCACAGGCUGAUGCUAAGAAAUUGCAAACUUGAGCGUAAUUAACCAUGGCAGUAUAUCAUCUACAGCAAAACGCCAAGGACCAUCGCCUACCCAGCACACGGACGUGCCAGAAAGGACAAUUUGUGUACCUAAGAGAUGAGAGGGCAAUACCAAAACAUGGUAAUUACUGCCAUCCAAGUUAACAAAAAAAAGGCGGCAUUCAGUGAGCAAACUACAAUCGAGAUUAGGUAGGUUACAAACUAGCCAAUCAGUGGAUUCUUCUUGAUUCUGUCUAACCAUAGAUUCAAAUUGUAAGCUAGAACACAUUUGCGAUUUAUCCACCAUGCAACAACAACAAUGCUACUUUCAUCAGGAUCAGCUGUGGCAACAAGCUAGCUGACUGUUCAGGGUCGCAUCCCCAGGAUCAUGCUCACAAUGGUAUCAAUCAAAGUUGUACUACAGGUAUUGACAA
rnacentral:lncRNA from 1 species